ACGGGGGGCCUACGGGAGGCAGCAGUGGGGAAUAUUGCACAAUGGGCGCAAGCCUGAUGCAGCCAUGCCGCGUGUAUGAAGAAGGCCUUCGGGUUGUAAAGUACUUUCAGCGGGGAGGAAGGCGACGCGGUUAAUAACCGCGUCGAUUGACGUACCU
rnacentral:rRNA from 1 species